CGCAGCAGCCGGGCGCACCCUGAGUUGACUGAGGGAGCGGGUGGCCUUGGCGGCCAUGUUAGACACACACACACACCGAGGCAGCCGUCGAACCGGGAGGACCAGGGGGGCGAGUGAGCGAGCGAGGGAACGCCGGGGGUUAGUGGAGAAACCACAGGCAGCUGGAAAGCUGAGAGGGAGCGCCAAGUGGCUAGUCGAAGGCUUUCCGCCACUGAGGUCGAGCUCCUCGGGGCCUGGGCUUGGGGCGGGAUGGAAAUCCGGCCGGGUAGAUCGGGGCCGGCCCGGGACUCGGUAGGACGAGCUUCUCACUAGAGUCUGGGGAUCUACGGGGCGGGGUAGGCCUCGUUUCCCUACGUGGGUCCGGAGCGGCCUGGCUCUAGGCGCUGCCGAAUCCGGGGCUCGGGACGGGAGCAGGCCCAAAGGCCUCCUCUUCCAGCCCGGGGCAAGCGGGAACAACUCGGAUCUCCUUUUCGUCUCGGCUCCGCCGCGCCCUCGGCCUCCACUCUGCCCGGGGUGCUGGAGAGAUGUUUAUCUCGGGCUCCUCCCUCCCCCUUGGGAGGUUUCUCGGCCUUUCUGUGGAUUUUUUAAUCUUAUCUGGGGUCCCUACACACCCCCCUUCCAGGGGGGAAAAAAAAAGGAGAUUACAGGCUAUUCUUUAGCGAGAUCGGGUUUGGACGCUGGCCAGCCAGAUGUUUAAAGUCCUAGCAAUAGGAAGGGGGGGAAGGGGGGGAGUGUGAUUGAGACAUCCUAGAGCCCCUGCCUAGCCGCAGGCAAGGACGGAUUCGAUAAGAUUUGGGGUUUUUUAGUAUUAGGAAUGACCUUGGUGGGAGAACUGACUGUCGGUUGAAGUUUUUUUUCUUUUUUAAUCAAUAGUGCCCAUUACUAGAACUGAAGAGCAAGCUUCCUCCUCCCUCCCCCACAGGAGAGUGGCAGUAGAAUAUUUAAUUCCUCCCGGGUAGAAAAGUUCCAGGAUUAAUUAUGGGACUCCCAAAUUUGGUGACCAUUUUGAGGGAUGUGAUUUUGCUUUUUUGCAUUUUCCUGAAGGAGAUACUAGAUUUUGGACUCUUCUUAGUAAAUUGCAUCGUUUUCAGAUAACUUAAUUAAAACUGCUCGGGUUUUUUUCUUUUCAGAGUCUCAACACAAUGAAAAAAUGGAGUGAAAUUUCUUUCUUCAUAAAGGUUUCUGAAGACUCACAAGUUGAAUAAAUAAAAUUAUAGUUAAGGUUAUCCUUGGACAAAAGAAAGAAAAUCUAGAAGAAAAUAUUUGAAAACUAAUCAAAAAGCUUUUUUCUUUCAGAUGUGUGUGGAUGAUAAAAAAACAAGUUGCCUUUUUAAAAUGUCAUGAUUUUGGGAACAGCUCAAAAUGAGUGGGCAUUCUUUGGUUUAAUGCUUGAUGAUUUCUUGGCAUCCUUUGUAAUGAAUGCAAUGAUAGAAAAGGCUUAAACAGAAAUAACUACAUGAUACCUCUGGAAGCAUUUUCAUUCUAACAGGAUUCUUGUAAGUAAACAUGGCUUGAUUAUCUGGAACUUCUCUUUGAACAGAAAAGAUCUUCACUUCUGUUUGAGUUGCUAUGGAAGUCCUGUUUGGUGGAAAGAAAAAGACUAACACCAACUGGAUUAAACAAGUUUGAUUGUCAGAUUGGUGUGUGGGAUGAAUGAGAAUGUAGUUCAAUGUAUUAUAUAAUCUAAUACAUCUUACAGCAGUUUGAAAUUUUUCCCGCCUUCGCUAAUGGACAUGUGGGAUGUGACUAUAAAAUAAUGAAACUAUUUUCUUCAUGGUAUUUAUGGAAACAAGUCUUAUUUCUUUAUAGUCACACAUGCUUUAUUAACAUCACAGCUAAAGAAUCUUGAUGGAUUGUUUCAUCUAGUGUCAUUUGCCUUUGAAAAAAGAGUGCUAUGGUAUACUUCUGGUAGUUUAACAUCAAUUACUGUAUAUUUGAGGAGACAAUGAGACUGCUCCUCUGGGAAAAGCCACUGUUUCCUAAUGUCUGUUGUCUUGGCAAAACUUCCUUUUGUUGCUAUGUUCUAUAUGACUUAAUGCUUCAAAAUUAUUGCGCAUUUUUUCCAACUAAUUUAUUUAGGUCAUAUUGACUGUAGUUCAAAAUAUCUGACUUUUCCUCAUUUUAGGAAUUCAUUUCUCUCUAAAUCCCAUGGAACAUCCUAGAUGAAAUUGCAACUACAUUUAAAAACUUAUUUCAGAGUCCUUGAUUUUUAUAUUCCUAUAUAAUGCUUCAGUGACAUUUUGCCUAGAAAUUUGUCAAUUGUACUGCUGUUGCUUUUCACCAUGUCAUUCCAUUUUAUGGAAUGGAUUAAUGUCUUAAAGCAUGUUGUUGAAAUAGAACUUUUAUCAUGUAGUGGGAGAAAAAAACUCAAAAUCACUACACAGGCUCUGUUCCCCUAUAUUUUUACCUGUAUUGCAUUGAAUGAAAAAGCUUCAAGAAGACUGGUAUAUCUAUGAAGCUUAGAUUUUUAGGCAGUCAUAGAACUAGCAACAUUUGAAAAGUUCCUUUUAGCAAUUUAAAAUAUCUUCUAUUAAACUGGGAAAACUUAGUAGCAAGGAGCAAAGUAGACUAGGACCAAGAAUUAUGCCAGGUUUCAUCUUUUUAUAACACAUUUUCUUACUAAAAAAUAGAGUAAGAACUUCUUUGAUUUCAGUGAGUGAAUUACAUAUUCUCAGUUGCCUAUACUACACAUUCUUUCAUUUAGGGACUCUUGAUUGCUUAAAAAAUCAAAGCACUGAAAAGAAACUCAUAAUGUAUUCCAAAUUGCUGGCCCUCAAUCAGAGACUGGAUGUAUUUUGGAGGAGAUGUGUGUUUCAGCCAUGGGGUGGGCUGAAUGAUAAGUAUAUGGUGCCAAGAUAAUAAGUCAUUGCCCAGACAGGGUGGAAGGUGUAAGGAAAUGCUUUGAACACAAUUACCAGGCUUCCUGGUAUCUGAUGGUUGGUUACUGUAUAGGGUUCUCCUUAAUAGGAACAACAAAAAAAUUACCCUUGACAAAUGGAAAACACCAUACUAUCUUUACUACAAAUUACCUCAAUGCUGAAAUGUCAGGAAAGAAGAAAAAAUGCUUAAUUUUAAAGAGUUCUGAGGAUUCAAAGGUUUGGUCCCCUGUCCAGAGGCAUUUCUAUCAUUUCCCCCUUGUAUACAAAGCAAAAAACUAGAUUUACAGAAAUUUGAAUUGAGUGAAUGGUGCCAAUUUUACAUAUUAAGGUAAGUGGCUUUUUAAGAAUAGAAUCUUUUAGGAUAGAAAAAACUUGUUACAACUCUAACCAGGCUUAUGGGUUAUCCUUCCCCCUAUGAUAAAGUCUAAUUAGUAUUUUAUUUUUCAGAUGUAACGAAGUCAACAAGCCUGAUACAAUUUUGUUUCAAAAGUGAAAAUGAGGAAAGUUAUUUUAAAAUUGUGUAAAUGAAAAAAGUUUGGUGUAUAUUGUAUGUCCUUUUGAGAAAAUGUUAUUUUAAGAGUUAUACAGGUUCAUGAUUUCGUUCUCACCUCAUUUUGACAUAUGUUAUCAGAAAUCACUGAAUUUCAAGUUGGGGGUUCAAAUCCUGUUUCCAGCUUAUUUUCCACUUCUCCAAAAUGAAGUUGAAUUACAUGCUCUCUCUGAGAAGUACAGGAAUAGAAAAUUUAACUAGCUUUGCUAACUUCAUACUUGCCCCAUUUUUCAAAUACCAGUUUUAUUUAUUUUUAAUUGCAUUAGAACUGUAACCCUGGGAAAUGAAAUUGCAGUCUUUGAAAAAUAUUGUCAGUCAUCAAA